AAAUUGAAGAGUUUGAUCAUGGCUCAGAUUGAACGCUGGCGGCAGGCCUAACACAUGCAAGUCGAACGGUAACAGGAAGAAGCUUGCUUCUUUGCUGACGAGUGGCGGACGGGUGAGUAAUGUCUG
rnacentral:rRNA from 1 species